GAUGAACGCUGGCGGCGUGCCUAAUACAUGCAAGUCGAGCGAACGGACGAGAAGCUUGCUUCUCUGACGUUAGCGGCGGACGGGUGAGUAACACGUGGAUAACCUACCUAUAAGACUGGGAUAACUUCGGGAAACCGGAGCUAAUACCGGAUAAUAUAUUGAACCGCAUGGUUCAAUAGUGAAAGACGGUCUUGCUGUCACUUAUAGAUGGAUCCGCGCUGCAUUAGCUAGUUGGUAAGGUAACGGCUUACCAAGGCGACGAUGCAUAGCCGACCUGAGAGGGUGAUCGGCCACACUGGAACUGAGACACGGUCCAGACUCCUACGGGAGGCAGCAGUAGGGAAUCUUCCGCAAUGGGCGAAAGCCUGACGGAGCAACGCCGCGUGAGUGAUGAAGGUCUUCGGAUCGUAAAACUCUGUUAUUAGGGAAGAACAUAUGUGUAAGUAACUGUGCACAUCUUGACGGUACCUAAUCAGAAAGCCACGGCUAACUACGUG
rnacentral:rRNA from 1 species